rnacentral:rRNA from 1 species
AGUGAACGUUGGCGGCGUGGAUUAGGCAUGCAAGUCGAGCGAGAACCGUAGCAAUACGGGGACAGCGGCGAAAGGACAGUAAUGUGUAGGUACCUACCCCCGGGUUCGGGAUAGCUGCGGGAAACUGCAGGUAAUACCGAAUAAUGUCUCCGGACCAAAGGUGUGAUUCCACCUGGGGAGGGGCCUGCAUCCUAUUAGCUUGUUGGUGGGGUAACGGCUCACCAAGGCGACGAUGGGUAGCGGGUGUGAGAGCAUGACCCGCGUCAUUGGGACUGAGACACUGCCCAGACACCUACGGGUGGCUGCAGUCGAGAAUCUUCGGCAAUGGGCGCAAGCCUGACCGAGCGACGCCGCGUGCGGGAUGAAGGCCUUCGGGUUGUAAACCGCUGUCGUAGAGGAGGAAAUGCAGGGGGGUUCUCCCUUCUGUUUGACCUAUUCUAGGAGGAAGUACGGGCUAAGUUCGUGCCAGCCGCCGCGGUAAAAC